AGCAUCCUACGGGAGGCAGCAGUGGGGAAUAUUGCACAAUGGGCGCAAGCCUGAUGCAGCCAUGCCGCGUGUAUGAAGAAGGCCUUCGGGUUGUAAAGUACUUUCAGCAGUGAGGAAGGUGGGUAUGUUAAUAGCAUAUUCAUUUGACGUUAGCUGCAGAAGAAGCACCGGCUAACUCCGUGCCAGCAGCCGCGGUAAUACGGAGGGUGCGAGCGUUAAUCGGGAAUUACUGGGCGUAAAGCGCAUGCAGGUGGUUUGUUAAGUCAGAUGUGAAAGCCCGGGGCUCAACCUCGGAAUUGCAUUUGAAACUGGCAAACUAGAGUACUGUAGAGGGGGUAGAAUUUCAGGUGUAGCGGUGAAAUGCGUAGAGAUCUGAAGGAAUACCGGUGGCGAAGGCGGCCCCCUGGACAGAUACUGACACUCAGAUGCGAAAGCGUGGGGAGCAAACAGGAUUAGAUACCCUGGUAG
rnacentral:rRNA from 1 species